rnacentral:ribozyme from 1 species
GAUGCUUUGACUCAUUGACCUCCACGCGGUAUGUGUCAGGAAACGUUGUACAUCAACGGCUAAGAAAUGAGA